CCUACGGGCGGCAGCAGUGAGGAAUAUUGGUCAAUGGGCGUAAGCCUGAACCAGCCAAGUCGCGUGAGGGAUGAAGGUUCUAUGGAUCGUAAACCUCUUUUAUAAGGGAAUAAAGUGUGGGACGUGUCCUGUUUUGUAUGUACCUUAUGAAUAAGGAUCGGCUAACUCCGUGCCAGCAGCCGCGGUAAUACGGAGGAUCCGAGCGUUAGCCGGAUUUAUUGGGUUUAAAGGGUGCGUAGGCGGCCUUUUAAGUCAGCGGUGAAAGUCUGUGGCUCAACCAUAGAAUUGCCGUUGAAACUGGGAGGCUUGAGGAUGUUUGAGGCAGGCGGAAUGCGUGGUGUAGCGGUGAAAUGCUUAGAUAUCACGCAGAACCCCGAGUGCGAAGGCAGCCUGCCAAGCCAUGACUGACGCUGAUGCACGAAAGCGUGGGGAUCAAACAGGAUUAGAUACCCCUGUAGUC
rnacentral:rRNA from 1 species